UCUGCAGCGCUCCUGCCCGGCCGCCCGCAGGCCUGGGUCCUCGCUUGAGCGGGAGGAGCGCCCCCUCUCUCGCUCACCCCUGCACCCGUCCCGAGGCGGGUCAGAAAGGCUCUGCCUCUCCCCAUUCCCACUUUGGGAAGCAUUACCGUAUUUAGGAAUGCUAACGUGGCCUACAGUGGGAUGCCAUUAGAAAUCAUGUAUGAGAAUGUUCCCUUGGAAAUGAUUCUCCAAACUGUCAAAUGCAAAAAGCAAGUUACAAACUGACCCCUUUUAGGUUAAAAAUAUGGAUAUACACAGGAUGAGGUCUGAAAGCAAUGAAUAUAUACAGAUUUUGUGAUGAAAAAGCUGAGCCGGGCCUGGUGGCUCACGUCUGUAAUCCCAGCACAGAGGUGGGAGGAUCACUUCAGCCAAGGAAUUCGAGACCAGCCUGGGCAACAUAGUGAGACCCCCAUCUCAAAAAAAAAGAUUUUUAAAAAAUCUAUUCAUAAAAACCAGAGUGAAAUGUGUUCAUUGUUUACAAACAUCCCUUUUUGGGCAUCAUGAACUCCCAAGUACCCUCAAAGCCAAAUAAAUUUUUUAAACCCUAA